GACGAACGCUGGCGGCGUGCUUAACACAUGCAAGUCGAACGGAGCUGUUUAUUUCGGUAGAUAGCUUAGUGGCAAACGGGUGAGUAACGCGUAGGCAACCUGCCCUUAGGAUGGGGACAACGGCCCGAAAGGACCGCUAAUACCGAAUGCACUCUAACUUCCGCAUGGAAGAAAGAGGAAAGAUGGUGCAAGCCAUCGCCGAAGGAAGGGCCUGCGUCUGAUUAACCAGUUGGUGAGGUAACGGCUCACCAAAGCGACGAUCAGUAGCCGGUCUGAGAGGAUGAACGGCCACAAUGGGACUGAGACACGGCCCAUACUCCUACGGGAGGCAGCAGUGGGGAAUCUUCCCGCAAUGGGCGAAAAGCCUGACGGAGCAAACGCCGCGUGAGUGAAGAAGGUUCUUUCGGAUUG
rnacentral:rRNA from 1 species